UAGCUUAGUUGGUAGUGCGUCUGCCUUGUAAGCGCAAGGCCGCGGGUUCGAUUCCCGC
rnacentral:tRNA from 1 species